rnacentral:rRNA from 1 species
AGUGAACGCUGGCGGUAGGCCUAACACAUGCAAGUCGAACGGCAGCACAGUAAGAGCUUGCUCUUACGGGUGGCGAGUGGCGGACGGGUGAGGAAUACAUCGGAAUCUACUUUUUCGUGGGGGAUAGCGUAGGGAAACUUACGCUAAUACCGCAUACGACCUACGGGUGAAAGCAGGGGAUCUUCGGACCUUGCGCGAUUGAAUGAGCCGAUGUCGGAUUAGCUAGUUGGCGGGGUAAAGGCCCACCAAGGCGACGAUCCGUAGCUGGUCUGAGAAGAUGAUCAGCCACACUGGAACUGAGACACGGUCCAGACUCCUACGGGAGGCAGCAGUGGGGAAUAUUGGACAAUGGGCGCAAGCCUGAUCCAGCCAUACCGCGUGGGUGAAGAAGGCCUUCGGGUUGUAAAGCCCUUUUGUUGGGAAAGAAAAGCAGCAGGUUAAUACCCCGCUGUUCUGACGGUACCCAAAGAAUAAGCACCGGCUAACUUCGUG